AGCUAGUCACUAGGUCCAGCCCACAGUCAGGGCAAGGGGUCACAAAAGGACGUGAAUAUGAGGUGGCAGGGAUCAUUUGGGGUCAUCUUAGAAGCUGUCUACCACAAUGUUCCACUAUGAAUUAUUUCAGAGGAUUCACACCUGGGGCAAGGAGGUACAUCGAUAGCAUGCAACCAGAAGGAGUCCUGAGACAGUCAUUUGCAGAAACCCUGGUGAAGUUUUGGUUUUCCUUGGCCAUGCAAUCAGGGGCUACUCACUGGCUGAUGGACUCAGCUGACACCCAGAUUAAUUUGAGAACUGUAUCCACAGUCAUUAACUACGGGGCAGUGCCCAACUGUCCCCAAGCCAGAAGUAAGAGGUAUGCAUCUUCACGACCUCAAUGACAAACUUGAUCAUAUAAAAUAGGCAGCAUUAAUUGACCUGGUUCAGGCUACGCCGGAGGUGGACUACCACCUGGAAACAGAGAGACAUUGCAGAAGCUUCCCUGAGGUUCCCCUUGCAGCCUUCAGGGGUGAAUUCUUUGACACUGGGUGUUUGAAAUGGAGCAAUCAAGGCCCCAGCAAAAAACAGAUGCACACUCCAAUGGGGUAAUUGAGGACAGUUUAGGAAAGAGAUUAUUUACAGAAGUGUGGACAGGAUUAAGAGAAAACAAGGAUGUGGAGCACGCUGGUAUUAUCAACAGUGGGGUCUAAAAGGGAAGGAGAGAGAGAGAGAGAAUCCUGGAACCCAGAGAGAGCUGUCGCUGUAAGACAGAACUGCCCAACAGGAACUGUGGCCUUUAGGGAGAAACUGAGCUACUGCAAACUCUCAGCCCGGAAGGAAAGAAGCCAAAGGAAUAAAUACCCUGACCUCCCCUUCCACCCUCCAAUCUCCUACUGGGUCCCCACUGGCCAGUCUGGCUCCCUGGGCACACCAGAGUUGAGAAGAACGGACAGCGGAUUUGGAGGCGCAAGAAGAAAGUAUCCAAAACCUAGACAGAAAGCCAGGCAGCUUCACAUGAGCUUUUUAAAAGUGUAGAAGUCAUAAAAAUUCUCCUGGAAAUGAGCAAACACAUGGGCUUUCAGAAGAUGAACACAAAAUAGCUUUUAAAAUGAAAGUCUGCUCUGGAAGGGAAAAGGUGGUUCCUGGCAAUGUGCAGAGGAGGAUUAAAGUCCCCACCCUCAACUCCAGCCUGCUGCGUCUUCCAAGAGAGAAUUCCCCAGAGCCUGGACUAGGGAAGCAUUGGCGCCACUGGGAAAAGCUGCUACAGCCCUUGUUGGGCGGCUCUUUCUCACAGCUACUGAAGCUGCCUUUGCAAAGAUUAUGACAGUGAGAGAAUCUGGUGUUGCUGACUCCAUCUUGUUUCUAGCCUCACAGGCUAACUGUCCUCACUCAUUCCUGGGCAUAGGCCAAGUUAAUCAUGAGAUGAAUUUUUUUAUUUUAUUUAUUUGCUUUUUGAGACAAGGCCUCACUCUGUCGCCCAGGAUGGAGUGCAGUGGCAUGAUCACGGCUCACCACAGCCUCGAACUCCCUGGUCUCAGGGUGGUCCUCCCACCUCAGCCUCCAGAGUAGCUAGGACUGCAGGCGCAUGUUAAUUUUUUUGUAUUUUUUGUGGAGAUGGGGCUUCGCCAUGUUGCCCAGUCUGGUCUUGAACUCCUGGGCUCAAGCGAUCUGCCUGCCUUGGCAUCCCAAAGUGCUGAGAUUGCAGGUGUGAGCUACUGCACCUGGAUAGGUAUUUAGUUUAUAGUUUAAUUUGAAAGCAAGGAUGAUAAUAGUGUUCCACUAAAACUGAUUCCCUCAUUGUUUCAGGGCUGAAACCACCUUUGUAAAACUAAGGAAAGGCCACAAGAUUAGGGAGGGGCCUGAAUUCUGCUAAAAUGGAGGCAUAGUCUUAGGCAUAGUUUUAGAACCAGCCAUUGUUCUAUAAGUCACAAGAUUUGUGACUUCCCCAAUUGCUCCUAUAGAUAACAUCACUAUUAUAGAACCUAGGAUUGGUCUUUUGAGAUGUUUUUCAGACUUUGCAUUCUGGCAAAUAACUGACCCCACCUGGACUUGUAACUCAUGACUCAACUGGUCCUGUGGCCCCUACCCAGAGGUGGACUCAGAGCACCAGGACCAUUUCCCACACCUCUAUUGCAUCCCCAACUAAUCAGCAGCAUCCAUUGCCUAGUCCUCUGCCCACCAAACUAUUUUUGAAAAACCACAGGCUGGGUGCGGUGGCUCAUACCUGUAAUCUCAGCACUUUGGGAGGCCAAGGUGAGGGGAUCACCUGAGGUCAGGAGUUCGAGACCAGCCUGACCAACAUGGAGAAAACCUGUCUCUACCGAAAAUACAAAAUUAGCCGGGCAUGGUGGCACAUGCCUGUAAUCCCAGCUACUUGGGAGGCUGAAGCAGGAGAAUCACUUGAACCCGGGGGGCGGAGGUUGUGGUGAGCCAAGAGCACACCAUUGCACAC
rnacentral:lncRNA from 1 species